ACGAACGCUGGCGGCGUGCUUCACCCCUGCAAGUCGAACGGAAAGGCCCUGCUUUUGUGGGGUGCUCGAGCGGCGAACGGGUGAGUAACACGUGAGUAACCUGCCCUUGACUUUGGGAUAACUUCAGGAAACUGGGGCUAAUACCGGAUAGGAGCUCCUGCUGCAUGGUGGGGGUUGGAAAGUUUCGGCGGUUGGGGAUGGACUCGCGGCUUAUCAGCUUGUUGGUGGGGUAGUGGCUUACCAAGGCUUUGACGGGUAGCCGGCCUGAGAGGGUGACCGGCCACAUUGGGACUGAGAUACGGCCCAGACUCCUACGGGAGGCAGCAGUGGGGAAUAUUGCACAAUGGGCGGAAGCCUGAUGCAGCAACGCCGCGUGCGGGAUGACGGCCUUCGGGUUGUAAACCGCUUUCGCCUGUGACGAAGCGUGAGUGACGGUAAUGGGUAAAGAAGCACCGGCUAACUACGUG
rnacentral:rRNA from 1 species